rnacentral:lncRNA from 1 species
AUGGUUUUCUCCUCACCUGCCUGCCCAUUUGUACAGGUGAUCCUGAUAGUCUUGAACCUAGUCAACUGCCUUUUUCCUGCUAAAUUGUUGGCUGGACAGUACUUCUUUGUGAAAACUCUUCAGAAGAAAAGACACAGACUCUCCUCCUCUCGGAGUCAUUGCCGCAUCAGUAGGACCCUGAAGAUCUCCUGUAAGAGAAAGCCUCACCGGAAAAUGUUGAUUCAGACGCCACACUUUCUAAGGUCAAGUCUAAAUGAUCCUUUUUUAGAUUUUUAUUUUUAGUUUUUUACUUUUCUUUGCCUCUUCAAAGUGAGCUCCAAGAACUCUCCCCUUAGGAGUAGAACUUCUGUUUUGUAAGAGAAACCUUGAUGGUAAAGAGCAGAAACUCUGCAGUCUGAUGGUCUGAGUUUGGAUCUUGGCUCUGGAUGACAUGGUCAAAGUUACUUUCUGGGCCUUAAUUUUCUUAUCUUUACAAUGGGUAUAAUAAUAUCAAUAGUCUUUACCACAGAGAGUUUUUAUGAGGAUAUAGCAACUGAGGAUAAUGGACAAGGAAUUUCCUCCCAGAAAACAGAUCCAGGGCCUGCCAGAUUAGUAGACUAGGAAUUCCACUUUCCUCAGAGGGCAGGAAGCUCUCUCUUUUUCUGACCAGCAGGAUUUGGUAUAUUCUGUGGUCCAAUGUGCAUUUCCUACUUUUCCUUUCUUUGGGUUGAGUUGGAGUUUUCAUUGUGGCUAUCCAGUUUCUUCCUUACCCUUGUAUAUCAGGUAUAUUGGGGCAGAUAAGCUGUCUUUGCAACUCACUGAUCAUGGUCAUGAGAGGUACACACAGACCUGAUGGGGAGCUCUGCAGUCACCUGAGAUCCUGGACUUUCAACCAGACGAGACUUUGAGUUUUCCUCUUUGGAGAUGGGGGAACAUGAAUAUGUAAAGGAAGAUGAGUGUCCAUGGCUGCUGAGAGCCAAAGAAGUAAUUGUGGCCGACACCAUUCAAUAGGUUAUCAAUAUUCGUUCUAAAUUACCUUCUCUUCCGCCUUUUGCAGUAUAGAGGGCAAUAUACAGUUCUCAAUUUCUCAGCUUUCUUGCUCCUAGGUGUGACCAUGUAAUGGAGUCUCAUCAAUGAAGAGUAGGUGAAUGUCCACUGUGGAAGUCUUGGCUUCCUGGGUAAACAUAUAAAGCCUUGUAAGGAGAUAGCCUUUCACCCUUUCCCCUUCUUCCUUCUUUGAAAGUGGAUGAAGGCUUCAAGUAGAGUAGAUAUCUUGCAAGCACGAGGCCACAAGCAAGAAGAGAAAAGCCAGGAGGCCAAAGAUGGAGGGAGAGGAAGCAGGUGCCAAGGUCUCCAGUGGAAUGACUGAGCAACUGCUCCCCCACUCCCUAUGUCUCUACUACUUGAAAUGUGAAUCUCCUAUUUGUUAAAGCCAUGGUUUUCGUCUAUUUUGCAGUUGAUUGCAAUCCUAGCUUAUGUAAGAGAAGAGACAUUCAAAUUUUAAAAAUUUAGUAAGUAUCCCUUGAGAAUGGGGUCCCUAGAAGCACUUGGGGAUGUGCGAGGAGCUGGUUACUUGGACAGUGAAGAACUUAGGUGAUUCUGGAAUUGAAAGAGAGGACAUUCUGUUCAACCAGGCACUGUGAGCUUUAGAAGAGCAUGAGAAGUUUGUCUCUCACGCGAGAGUUAAUUUGAGGACAAGAUGCUCCUUGGAAGAUGGCUGGAGUGAUCCUUUGUGAGACUAGGCCCAAGACACAAGUGUAGAACAAUGGAUCAGCAGUGCAGCAGUGGGACUGACCAACUCCUGAACGUAAUUCAGGAAAACUGACAAGAUGGAGUUGAGCUGUAGAUAAUACUAGGGUAUUGCAUGCUCAUUAAGCUGUGACGGCCACACCAAUCUAAGCUCUUUUUAAAUCUAUUUUGAUAAUUACUGCAUUUUGAGUAUUUGGGGAACAGGAAUUGGGUUUAUUUUUUCCAAAUAUUCUUGGUCUUAUUUAUAGAUUCCAUUUGAAAAGUGUCAAUUCUCUCUGCACAAAUAAAAAAACCAAACUCUGAAGAUAGGCA